GUGGCUGGGCUGCCGCGCGGACGAGCUCCUGAGCUGGGAGAGGCCGCUGCGCAGCCUGCUCGGCUUCGUCGGGGCCAACCUGCUGUUCUGGUAGACACACGCUUCAAGUUUCCUCCAGACUCGCUUCGCAACAAACACUUGUCCUCCUCCGUGUGUGCGUCCACCCUGGCAUGGGAGGUGGUCGGCUGAUCCGCAAGCACCUGUACCUGCAGGUGUGCCCAGCGUGCCCGGAAACUGUGGCCUUUGCUUUCGAAAACUCACGCGUUUUCACCUGCUUGCCAAAACUAUGCCAGUGCAAACGUACUUGAACUUGUAUUCGCUCUUGCACCCCGAACAGCUUGGGUGCAUGCUCAGGACUGCGCCGCCUUCGUCAGCCACCUGAGAUGGGCACUGAGUGAUUUGUUUUUCCAUUCCCUGGAGGGUUGGGUUUACUCUCUUAAUUCCCUGAUGAGAAAACAGGAGGCAAACAGGUGGAUUAUGUACAUCAGCCCCCGCCCCCACCCAGGUGUGCACAGUAUAGAAAACAGUCAUAUUUUCAGGGGAAGUACAGAUAGAACACACAGGAAUGUUCUCUCAAAAGCCCCUGACCGACAGGUUUCUCUCUCCAAAAAGAGCCCUUUGCCAUUAAGGACAGGGAAAGGGUCUCACUCCUUCGUUGAAGGAUGUGAGGCUACCAGUGAUGGAGGGUGGAGAAACGCGCGUUCUUUGUUUGCAACCGUGUCUUCGUACAAGUAUGAUCCACACCAGUGAGAAAGCGUUCGGCGUGGGAUACCUUGUUACAGGACAUAGAUUUCUUAACCUUAAGCUUAGGAAAUAAAGUACACAAAACA